AUUUACCAGUUGCCUAAUUACGAAAAGUUUCAUAUGAUAUUAACCUCAAAAAUGAUCUUUGAAAACAAACAACAACAAAUAACUCAAAGAAAUAACUACAUACUACAUAAUAAUAACUGAUAAUAAUGACUUUUAAUGGUAUAAAGGCUGAUGAAGUUUUAGACAACCAAUACAAGAUUCAGAACUCGGCAUCGCGAUAAACAAGUAAAAUUGUACAUUCAGGAACUCGUUUAAAUAUUAUAGGUUGAUUGAAGAAUAAUCUACAAUUGAUUAGAGCCUAUGACGAUGCGAGAGAUAAUUAAUAUCACCUAACUUUAAACCAG